GCAAGGGAUUCAUGGUUUUGUUGUAAUAAUCACGAAAAUAAGAAUGGCGAAUGCAUAGAAUGUGAAAUUGGGUAUGUUUCAAAGAAUGGAUUUCCAUGCAAACCAUGUUCACUUGGACUGUGGGGAAGAAAAUGCGGAGAAGUUUGUAGCUGCCAGCAUAACGAGAGAUGUGAUAUGGUGUAUGGGUGUAUUGCGUUGACAACUGACAAGUCAGAAAAGUGGGAAAGUACCUUUAUAGAACCAAUGGAUAGUUUUUCAGCAGCUGAUA